rnacentral:misc_RNA from 1 species
GAUGAAGAACGUAGCGAAAUGCGAUAAGUAAUGUGAAUUGCAGAAUUCAGUGAAUCAUCGAGUCUUUGAACGCACAUUGCGCCCCCUGGUAUUCCGGGGGGCAUGCCUGUCCGAGCGUCAUUGCUGCCCUCAAGCACGGCUUGUGUGUUGGGCUCCGCCCCCCUCCCGGGGGGCGGGCCCGAAAGGCAGCGGCGGCACCGCGUCCGGUCCUCGAGCGUAUGGGGCUUUGUCACCCGCUCUGUAGGCCCGGCCGGCGCCCGCCGGCGACCCCAAUCAAUCUUUCCAGGUUGACCUCGGAUCAGGUAGGGAUACCCGCUGAACUUAAGCAUAUCAAAAGCGGAGGA